ensembl:lncRNA
GAGGGAGUAAGUCCAAGACAUAUGUGGUCAGAGCAUUCCAGGCAGAGGGAUUAGGGAAUGCAGGCCUGAAUGGGAGAAGCAUGAACUCAGCGUGGUCAAGGGUAGGCAGGUAGCCAAGAGUGCUUGGAGCUGAGACCGUGCAGAAAAAGUAUUGGCAGACAAGUCACCAGUUUGUAGUCAGAUUUGACUGUCUGGAGCCCAGUCAUGUCCAGCUCUUCCUGAUUCCAUGGACUGUAGCCCGCCAGGCUCCUCUGUCCAGGCAAGAAUACUGGAGUGGGUUGCCAUUUCCUUCUCCAGGGGAUUUUCUCGACCCAGGGAUCAAACCAGCAUCUCUUGCAUUGGGCUCAAUUCACAUUCCCCUCUCCUCCCUGUUUGUUUUCAUUGCAAUCAAGGAAAGUUUACUGCAUUCAUACUUCUUAAAGAGAAAAGUACUUUCAUGUCAUUAUAAAUUCCUACGGAGUUACAAAGUCUGACACAGAAUUGUAUGGAAAGGGCAUUAUGUGAAAAGAUACCAUGGAAGCCAGGAUCCGAGUGGAAAAUCAAAACAAGUAAAGGUUCUUUAAAAUGCUGUCAUUUCUGGAAUAAAUUAAACCUGAUACUAUGUGAGAAUGUCUUAAGUUCCCUUACAGCAAGGAUACUGAGUUAUUGUCUAGCAAACAGGCGCCUCUUUUAAGAUAAUACAAAAAUAUUCUAAAAAGACAGUUUUUCCAAUGAAAAUUAAUCUAGCUUGCUUGGUUACCUAUCAGUGUGUCAUUAUUUUGCUCAAGUGUUCAAGCAUCUUAUGUGGUGUAUCAUUUUAAUACGCUGUGAAUAAAAAUGAUGCCCCCUUUUGGUCAGCCAGCAGCCUAUCGUGUCUGGUGAUUCUUAAUGUUUUCUGUAGUCAAAUUUCAUUACAUCAUUUUAGAACAGCUCACAACUCCCUAAUAAAGGCAUGUCCACAAUACAAAUGCUUCACAUUUCCUAAAUGUCAUACCAAUUCAGAAUUACUUUUUCCUAUUUCAUUUAUCAUGCUAAAUUAUAAUUUCUAUUUGGCCAUGGUCCUUAACUUUCCUUUUAGCUACUCCUAAGGAGGCCUGGUGUGCUGCGAUUCAUGGGGUUGCAAAGAGUCGGACACGACUGAGCGACUGAACUGAACUGAAGCUGUACUUUCCUCCUAUUUCUGGAAAUUAUUUUCCUGCUAAAAUGAAUUAUUCUCCACUUUGUACCUAUAGAACUCAAUUUAAUUUUUAUCUUUCCACUUCUUCAAUUUGUCGAGAUGCUUUGAAUUUAAAUUCUACAAUAAGAAAGUCAAUCCCCCCAAGUAGAUGUCAUCAGUACAAAUGUAAUGUGUAUUCAUUCAAGUAAUUGAUAGAAGAGUGUCUGUUUUCUGCCCGGAAGAUGUUAAUCUGAGCCCUGCCCUCUCCAGUUAAUUUAGAAAUAUUGUUAACUGCUAUGAUAAAAUUUAUUAUGCAAAGGGGAAAAUGUGAUAUAAACAAUCAAAUCAUUUUAUUUCUUGAAUGCUUUGUAUAUAUCAUACUAGACUAAGCAGAGAAGGCAACGGCACCCCACUCCAGUACUCUUGCCUGGAAAAUCCCAUGGAUGGAGGAGCCUGGAAGGCUGCAGUCCAUGGGGUCGCUGAGGGUCGGACACGACUGAGCGACUUCGCUUUCACUUUUCACUUUCAUGCAUUGGAGAAGGAAAUGGCAACCCACUCCAUUGUUCUUGCCUGGAGAAUCCCAGGGACGGGGGAGCCUGGUGAGCUGCCGUCUAUGGGGUUGCACAGAGUUGGACACGACUGAAGUGACUUAGCAGCAGCAAGCAAAUUAAAAUCAACCAAAUGUAUUUUUUUAUCAGUCUCACAUUUCUAAAGCAAAUGAAAUCAAAUAAUAAGGUUUUGGG